rnacentral:lncRNA from 1 species
GGUUUUGGAAGUGUAUACGCCAAAUCCUUCAAGAAACCAAGCUGCCUCCCUGCAUAUAUAGUUGCAUGGACAUAAUAUUAUAUAUAUAUAUAUAUAUAGAUGUUGCUUCAAGUUAAAGUCACCUCUAAUCUCAUAUAUAUACAUAUAUAUAUCUAUAUAUAUAUGUUUGUGCGUAUAUACAUACAUAAGCAUUUGAGUACAGUCUGAAGCUUUUCCCAAAUUAACCAUAAGAUCAAACCAAGAACAAAUUAAAAUUGGGAAGUUGAGGGAAAGGAAACUAAAGUUAUUUGGGCUUUUAUUUUUCUGUAAAAGGCAAUAUAUAUACACACAUAUAUAUAUAUAUAUAUUGCAGAUUUAGAAAACAAAAUUGUAAAACUAUUGUUGAAUAUCUUAUAUCUAUAUAUAUGUGUGUGUAAAAUUAGAAAGCAAUAGCACCACAGUGAGUCAUAUAAUCAAACACUGUUAUAUAACUAUUAAUUAUAUAUACAUGUCA